CAGUCGCCACGGGAAUACGUAGGGUGCGAGCGUUAAUCGGAAUUACUGGGCGUAAAGCGUGCGCAGGCGGUUUGUUAAGGCAGAUGUGAAAUCCCCGGGCUCAACCUGGGAACUGCAUUUGUGACUGGCAGGCUAGAGUAUGGCAGAGGGGGGUGGAAUUCCGCGUGUAGCAGUGAAAUGCGUAGAUAUGCGGAGGAACACCGAUGGCGAAGGCAGCCCCCUGGGCCAAUACUGACGCUCAUGCACGAAAGCGUGGGGAGCAAACAGGAUUAGAUACCCGCGUAGUCCCUGUCUCUUAUAC
rnacentral:rRNA from 1 species